CGCGUAGGUGGCUUUACAAGUCUGGAGUGAAAGUCCCGUUUUUAAGGUGGGAAUGGCUUUGGAAACUGUAAGGCUUGAGUGUGGGAGAGGAUAGCGGAAUUCCCGGUGUAGCGGUGAAAUGCGUAGAGAUCGGGAGGAACACCAGUGGCGAAGGCGGCUAUCUGGACCAAGACUGACACUGAAGCGCGAAAGCGUGGGUAGCAAAACA
rnacentral:rRNA from 1 species